GCUGCCAGUCUUCCAGGUCCAGCGUGGUCACAGGGCUUGCUGGCUCCACGUCUCCUCCUUUCGGUUUGGCCCUCGCUUGCCCGAAUCCCUACCGGUGUCUGAUGCCAGUGUGUCGCUGCCUGCUGAGAUCCUUUUCCCUUGUGCUGGUUCCAGGCACUAUUUGCAGCUACCGAGAACCAAUCCCUCACAUUGUAAGGGAGACCCCAGAGGAGGCGCUGGGCUCAGUGGCCCAGUGAGAAGGAGACACCCCAUGAAGGGCCUGAGGGGAGCUGUGGGGCUGGGGAAGCAGACAGAGAGGCUUUCAGGGAAGCGAUGCAGAGACUACCACCGAGAUCCACCUACCUCCUAAAACAAUGGAAAAAAUGCCUCAAAGGCCUGAAAGCAGUAGCCUGAAGAAUUUGACCUUCCUUUAGGACAGUGGUUCUCCAAAGGUGGUCCCUGGACCAGCAACAUCAGCAUCCCUGGAGAAUUUAUUAAAGCUUCCAAUAUUUGGGAACCAACCCAGAUCCUCUGACUCAGAAACUCUAGGGUUGGAGCCCAACAAUUUGAAUUCUACAAAGCUCUCCAGGAGAUUCUGAGGCACUCUCGGAUUUGAGAACCAUUGCUCUGGUACGGGUGUUCCCUCUCCCAGUGUUUUGGGGAGGACAGGGUUGCAAAAGAUUUGCUAACAGAGGGGCCUCCCACGGAAUCCCCUUCUGAGGAGAAACAGGGGUUGGGAGUUUAGAAGGCUUCCAGCCAGAAGUCAACUGAAUGCUUGAGCAUCCCUUACAGAUCUCUAAUGUAGUUGGAUUCCCUUCAAAAGAAGCUGUUACUUUGAGUUUAGUUUGGAGCUUGAAGUGAACACAACCUCCAACAAAAAUGUGUACGAGAGUCUGCCUGUGUGUUGAGAAACUUCCUCUGUAAUAUAUUAUGUUUUCUUUCUAUGUGAAAAUAGAAUGUCAAGACUGUG